UCUCGCCUGGAGAGUGACACAGUACUUGAGAGGAUGGUUCCCCCAAACCCACAGCCCACUUUGAACUGAGUGACUUGCAUUUCCACUAUGUGGACUAACACUGCCUAUUCCCUGUAUCCAGGUUUAAUGGAAUCUACUAUUCCCCUCCUGGGCAAGGCUGGCCCAUAUCUUCCUGUUCUCGGAACACACCAGCUUUGGUCUGCCUGGAGCCUCUGGGGAGCCUCUCACCUAGAAUGCAAUCUGCACGGAAGCAAGCCCUCUGUUCCACCUGUUAGAGCUCCCGACGCUAUGCUAUGCUAGGUUCCCUUCAAAAUGAAGUGAGUUUUCCUGUUUGCAGAAGCUCAACUAGUGUUCCAAAUCUCAACGAAGCAGGGCCGAGGGUGGAGCCCAGGAUUGCUUGCAGUCUGAGCAUCUCUACCUCAGCCAAAACACUACCAGAGAAUCCUGCCUCCUAACACCCCAGCUUCUCUUGGCACACCACACCCUGGGGCAAGAAUGCAGCAGCAAGGGAAUGGACCAGUGCUUAAAUGGGGCCUGUCAUAGAUAAAGUGGAAAAGAGCACCGAAGGACGCAAAGCCUUGCAAGGGACCCAAUAGAGUAUUUGAUCUCGGACCAGAGCCCCACAGCCACCCCGCUGGAGCCCACCCCCAAGCCCCCUGGCCCAGCCCCGCGCGCACCAACCAGCCGCGUGCACUCAGCUUGCUCCGAAGCCUCGGUCGGCAAUUCUCCAGUCUUCUGGUCCUGAACUGCGUUUGCGACGCCAAGGCAACUAUUCUCACAGGAGCUGUGAUGUCAUAAAGCCCCGGAGGCGGGCCCGGGCACACUGGGCGGGCUGGCGGGCCGGCGGGCGCGGAGUACUGUGCAGGACUGUGGCAGCUAAAGAGCAGAAGACACGGACUCAGGGAAGGGACAACGACUAGAAGCAGAGCGAUCCGGGUUGUUGCAACCCUGCAACCCGGGGACAGGGUACGUUUGCCCAGCGCACUAGCUUCUUUCACCCCCAGAUUCUCCUGCCCAUCCGUAAAGGAUUUUGUUGCAGCUAGGGCACAGACAACAGCCUGGCUCUUCAGAGAAUAUUUAGGAGUCUUGGGGCCGGGGAGGACGACGGUAAAACAGUCUACAGGCUAGGAAUGUGCCAAAGACAGUCUCCCUUAGCUCCUGGCGCUACUCAGGGUCGCUGGCGCCACCCAGUGGGUGGAGAGAUAGAACCAAGGCAAGAAGGCCAGGGGUAGGAGUGUAGAAGGAUCCUGGAAUGGGUCAGGGACCCUUGAAUCACCAAAGGGACAGUAUCCCGCAGGGCAGUCCAGCGCUGGGCAUGGGGGAGCCAGGAAGAAAGGGUGGGCCCUGCAUAUGUGGUUUGUUGGUUUUGUUUGUUUGUUUGUUUGUUUGUUUGUUUGUUUGUUUUUUAUGCAGCUAGUGUUAAAUACUCUUUGCAAGCAAGUGGCUCCCUGCCUGGUGUUGGAGGAGGGCCCUUACACUGUGGUCUAGAAUUCCCAAUAUUCUGGCCUCAGCUUCCCAGUAGGCUGUCAAAAUAGCCAGACAAACUACAAAACAAAACAAAAAUAAUAGGAAGAAAGAAAGGAAGAAGAAAGAAGAAGGAAGAAGGAAAGAAAAAGAGAGAAAGAGAGAAGGAAGGAAGAGAAAGAGAGAGAGAGGGAGGGAGGGAGGGAGGGAGGGAGGGAGGGAGGGAGGGAGGAAAGAAGGAAGGAAGGAAGGAAGGAAGGAAGGAAGGAAGGAAGGAAGGAAGGAAGGAAGAACAACAGUAAAACCUGCACCAGGUUUGGAGUGCUUAUUUAUUCAACCAGUCAAGCAAAUAUUUCAGAAAUCAUUCAUCUUUCACACCACGAGGGCUUUUACGAAUUUAGAAAAAUAAGCCACCAAAAGAGAACAAAUGAGGGUGCUACCAUUCCUGGUGUUAGCACACCUGUCCUGAGUCCCCGGUGAACCCUCACAGGGUGUCCUUUAAGCCAGGUAUUGUUCUCAGCGCAGAUCCAUUCAGUACUUACUACCAUCCUGAUGACUAGGUCCGGUUCUGAACCACCACCCCUCAGCAUGAGGAACCAAUGUGAGCCUAAGAUCCUAGAAGAAAGGCACACUGUGUUCAACAUUGUACAAGCCAGAGUGAUCGGUGAAACCUCAAAGACUGCGGAGAGUUGGAAUGCUGCAAAUCUAGAGCCAAAAUUAUCUGAGGUAAUACUAGCCCUCGAAACAGCCACUGUGAUUGACAGAACAUUCUUGUAACUGUUACAUAACUCUUCUCGGAAUGUUCACACCUCUAACUUCUACCAACACAAAGGCCGAGAAUGUCCUCAGAUGGCAUCUGAGGCCCACAGCAGAGAGCUCCACACCCUUCCUUGUAACCCAAGUCUGUGUUCCUCGGCCAUAGCCGCUCAGUGUUUGGCUAGUUACUUCCUGUGAAGCAGAGCUGGUUUUACGUCAACACCGGUGAAGGCAGUUACCCAGACACGCUCCAACUCCCACCUCUUGUGGAUCUUAUGCAUUAUUCAAAACGAUGUGUCUCGUACCAGAGAUCGGGGAAGCCUGGAGGCGUGCUCGGUAAAGACGAUAAGCUUUCUGCUGUGCCUCUUGGUUCCUCGGAAGGUUAGAGAAGAGAUCAUCUAGAAGAUGUGGCAUGGUAUGGAAAUUUAAACAAAUUUUUACUUACGGGGUGGGAGAGCUCAGAGGACAACUUAGGGGAGUGGAUUCUCUUUCCACCCUGUGGCUUCCUGGGAUCAAACUCAGGUUAGCAGGCUUGGUGACAAAUGCCUUUGCCUGCUGAGAUCUUUAAUCUUAGUCUAACAUUUGAUGAUGAAAGCUUAUUUUAAAAAUUAAGGAGAUGGUGUGUAGUAAGGCCACUGUAGCUGUCCCUGCAAAAGCCCUCUAUGUGGUGGCCUGGGUCCUCCUACAAAUCUCUUUCCAAGCCGGGCGUGGUGGCACACGCCUUUAAUCCCAGCACUCGGGAGGCAGAGGCUGGCAGAUUUCUGAGUUCGAGGCCAGCCUGGACUAACAAAGUGAGUUCCAGGACAGCCAGGGCUAUACAGAGAAACCCUGUCUCAAAAAAAAAAAAAAAAAAAUCUCUUUCCAGCACCAAGUAUGUCUAAAGUUCAAAAGUUUUCAUAAUAAAAUGUUUUGGGAAAAACUA